rnacentral:rRNA from 1 species
UACGAACUGUGCGAACGUUAUUCGGAAUCACUGGGCUUACAGGGUGCGUAGGCGGCCUGACAAGUAGGGUGUGAAAGCCCCCGGCUUAACCGGGGAAUGGCGCCCUAAACUGUCGGGCUGGAGUGAGAUAGGGGUGUGCGGAACUUCCGGUGGAGCGGUGAAAUGUGUUGAUAUCGGAAGGAACGCCGGUGGCGAAAGCGGCACGCUGGAUCUCAACUGACGCUGAGGCACGAAAGCCAGGGGAGCGAACGGG